AUGGCUGUGUGUGAAUGUGCAUGGGUUGGUGAUGAGGGAACAGUUGUUUUGCAGGACAUUAAAUCAAGUUGCCAGGUGCCACAAAGGGUGGGCACAGACAACCUGCUCUGCGUGUGGUCCUCUGGUGGGAAUGUGCCUGACCUGGGAGUCAGGAAUCUGUCGGUGAUUACAGGAGAAUCUGGUGAAUCAGGAAAAGUUAUUGGCCAGGGCUACCUUAUCAAAGACGGCAAGCUGAUCAAGAACAAUGCAUCCACUGACUAUGACCUGUCUGACAAGAGCAUCAACCCUCUGGGUGGCUUUGUCCACUAUGGUGAAGUGACCAAUGACUUUGUCAUGCUGAAAGGCUGUGUGGUGGGAACCAAGAAGCGGGUGCUCACCCUCCGCAAGUCCUUGCUGGUGCAGACGAAGCGGCAGGCUCUGGAGAAGAUUGACCUUAAGUUCAUUGACACCACCUCCAAGUUUGGCCAUGGCCGCUUCCAGACCACGGAAGAGAAGAAAGCAUUCAUGAGACCACUCAAGAAAGACCGAAUUGCAAAGGAAGAAGGAGCUUAAUGCCAGGAGCAGAUUUUGCAGCUGGUGCAGUCUCAAUAAA